rnacentral:tRNA from 1 species
GGGGAUUUAGCUCAGUGGUAGAGUACUUGCCUAACAAGCACAAAGCCCUGGGUUCAAUCCUCAGCUCCG